rnacentral:misc_RNA from 1 species
GUAGGUGAACCUGCGGAAGGAUCAUUAUUGAAUAAACCUGAUGUGGCUGUUAGCUGGCUUUUCGAAGCAUGUGCUCGUCCGUCAUCUUUAUCUCUCCACCUGUGCACAUUUUGUAGUCUUGGAUAACUCUCGAGGCAACUCGGAUUUUAGAAUCGCCGUGCUGCACAAGUCGGCUUUCCUUUCAUUUCCAAGACUAUGUUUUUAUAUACACCAAAGUAUGUUCAAAGAAUGUCAUCAAUGGGAACUUGUU